CCUACGGGUGGCAGCAGUCGAGAAUCAUUCACAAUGGGGGAAACCCUGAUGGUGCGACGCCGCGUGGGGGAAUGAAGGUCUUCGGAUUGUAAACCCCUGUCAUGUGGGAGCAAAUUAAAAAGAUAGUACCACAAGAGGAAGAGACGGCUAACUCUGUGCCAGCAGCCGCGGUAAUACAGAGGUCUCAAGCGUUGUUCGGAAUCACUGGGCGUAAAGCGUGCGUAGGCUGUUUCGUAAGUCGUGUGUGAAAGGCGCGGGCUCAACCCGCGGACGGCACAUGAUACUGCGAGACUAGAGUAAUGGAGGGGGAACCGGAAUUCUCGGUGUAGCAGUGAAAUGCGUAGAUAUCGAGAGGAACACUCGUGGCGAAGGCGGGUUCCUGGACAUUAACUGACGCUGAGGCACGAAGGCCAGGGGAGCGAGAGGGAUUAGAUACCCCUGUAGUC
rnacentral:rRNA from 1 species